GACGAACGCUGGCGGCGUGCUUAACACAUGCAAGUCGAACGCUGAAGACCUGGCUUUUGUUGGGUUGGAUGAGUGGCGAACGGGUGAGUAACACGUGAGUAACCUGCCCUCUUCUUUGGGAUAACGCCCGGAAACGGGUGCUAAUACUGGAUAUUCACUGAUCUUCGCAUGGGGGUUGGUGGAAAGGUUUGUUCUGGUGGGGGAUGGGCUCGCGGCCUAUCAGCUUGUUGGUGGGGUGAUGGCCUACCAAGGCUUUGACGGGUAGCCGGCCUGAGAGGGUGACCGGUCACAUUGGGACUGAGAUACGGCCCAGACUCCUACGGGAGGCAGCAGUGGGGAAUAUUGCACAAUGGGCGAAAGCCUGAUGCAGCGACGCCGCGUGAGGGAUGGAGGCCUUCGGGUUGGAAACCUCUUUCGCUCAUGGUCAAGCCGCAACUGUGGGUUGUGGUGAGGGUAGUGGGUAAAGAAGCGCCGGCUAACUACGUG
rnacentral:rRNA from 1 species